rnacentral:rRNA from 1 species
AUGCAGUUUGAAGACUCUCUGGAUUUUUCGAGCUGCCAGGUGUUAGAUGUGUUAGAGAUGACAGAUUGUAACAUCUAUGCGCCUAUCAUUUGCCAGUCAUUACGACACCUUAACAUGAAAGGCGGAUGUUUUGACAAUGAAGUCCGCUAUCAUAUUUCUGCCCCAAAUCUCGUUAGCUUGAAACUAGCUCCAGAGUCGGGCCUGACUCCAUUGCUUGAUAGCAUGCCAUCACUGGUAACAGCAUCUGUUGAAUCUUCCGAAGAGGAGUUUCAUCACUGUUUUGCUUUGCUAUCAUGUGAUGAUGGAUGCACUAGGGAAGAAACAUUUUCUGUGGUUUUGGAAGGCUUGUCUGCUGCUACAAACUUAGAGUUGACAAGUGAUGAUCUGUUAUCUGUUUUCAGAAUGGAUUUGAAAUGGUCCCCUGUGUUUAGCAAAGUAAAAAUGUUGUUGCUGAAUAAUUGGUGUGUGGCUGGUGAUUUCACUGGAUUGGUUUACUUUCUCCAGCACUCACCAAUUCUAGAGACACUCACGCUACAACUUAAUAUUCCAACUCCUAAGAAACAACGUGUGAAUGGAACAGAUGAAAGAUAUGCCCCAAAGAAGCAAUCAUUACCAUCGAAGCAUCUCAAGAUAGUCAAAAUCAUAUGUGGCCUGAUGAAGGACGAUGCUAGAGUUUACCGUGCUUUGAAGAUGCUCUGUGCCCAUGGAGUGCCUUUUGAGAAAAUUGACAUCCAAUAG